rnacentral:rRNA from 1 species
GGGGCAUCAGCGGGAAAGCUUGCUUUUCUCGCCGGCGACCGGCGCACGGGUGCGGAACGCGUAUGGAACCUGCCCCUGUCAGGGGAAUAGCCCAGGGAAACUUGGAUUAAUGCCCCAUGGUACCGCGAUAUCGCAUGAUAUUGCGGUUAAAGAUUUAUCGGACAGGGAUGGCCAUGCGUACCAUUAGUUAGUUGGUGGGGUAACGGCCCACCAAGGCAGCGAUGGUUAGGGGCCCUGAGAGGGGGAUCCCCCACACUGGUACUGAGACACGGACCAGACUCCUACGGGAGGCAGCAGUGAGGAAUAUUGGACAAUGGGCGGGAGCCUGAUCCAGCCAUGCCGCGUGCAGGAUGACGGCCCUAUGGGUUGUAAACUGCUUUUAUACGGGAAGAAAUGCGCCCACGUGUGGGCGUCUGACGGUACCGUAAGAAUAAGGACCGGCUAACUCCGUGCCAGCAGCCGCGGUAAUACGGAGGGUCCGAGCGUUAUCCGGAAUCAUUGGGUUUAAAGGGUCCGUAGGCGGGCCUGUAAGUCAGGGGUGAAAGUUUGUGGCUCAACCAUAAAAUUGCCUUUGAUACUGCAGGUCUUGAGUCAUGGUGGGGUCGCCGGAACAUGUGGUGUAGCGGUGAAAUGCAUAGAUAUCACAUAGAACACCGAUCGCGAAGGCAGGUGGCCAACCAUGUACUGACGCUGAUGGACGAAAGCGUGGGUAGCGAACGGGAUUAGAUACCCCGGUAGUCCACGCCGUAAACGAUGGAUACUAGCUGUGGGGACUUCGGUCUCCGUGGCCAAGCGAAAGU